rfam:Stegodyphus mimosarum contig16037, whole genome shotgun sequence.
GCCUUCGUGGUGUAGUGGUCAGCACGCUCGACCGCGUUACCGAGAGGUCCGUGGUUCGAUUCCCGGCGAAGGCG